UUCGGCCACAUCACGUUGAAACACCUGAUCCCGUAAGCCUACAGAAGUUAAGCAAUGUAGAGGCUGGUCAGUGCUUCGAUGGGUGACCGCUCGGGAAUAUUAGGUGUAGUAAG